rnacentral:rRNA from 1 species
CGACGACCGGCGGAUGGGUGCGUAACGCGUAUGCAACUUGCCUCACAGUGGAGAAUAACCCGGAGAAAUCCGGACUAAUGUUCCAUACACUCUUAAGUACGCCUGUACAUAAGAGGAAAGAUUUAUCGCUGUGAGAUAGGCAUGCGUCCUAUUAGGUAGUUGGUGAGGUAACGGCUCACCAAGCCGACGAUAGGUAGGGGUGCUGAGAGGCAGAUCCCCCACAUUGGGACUGAGACACGGCCCAAACUCC